rnacentral:lncRNA from 1 species
UUAGAAUCUGAUCAUAUGUAACAAUAAUAUUUGGCGUAUCUUUACAGUCAAAAGGCUACAUACAAAUAUAAACCACAAAUAAUGCGUAUACGCCUACUUGCCGGUAGAUACGAAACAGCUAUCAGCAGCACCAUCAUCUCUUGGGCUCAAAUCUGUCCAAAGUUUCAUAAAAGACAUCAUCCACAGGUCCCAGAAGGUCAACACCAGGCUUUAAUUUGAUCUCAGGGUCGUCAGUCUCUGCUUUCGUUGUCACCAAUGCAAUAAACUUGUCUUCUGGAGCCACAUUGUGUGAAUACAAACAACAAAAUAGAUACCUGAAGAAACACAUCAUCGAAAAACUCGUUAGACAUUCAUCCAGUCAUCGGUUACUUUACACUUACCUCCACAUCAGAAAAGUCAACUUGGUCAAAUGUUACUUUAAACAUACAUGUCUGAUUUACGUUUAGCUACUCACCACAUUCCAGAAGCAGUUAUUUUUGUAAAAAAAAAUGGCAGUUAUAACCCCAUUCCCAACAACCCUACAACUGUUAACUAACUACCCUUGUAACCGCCCAACUAACUAACAACCUCUGUUGCUAACCCCUGUUAACUAACAACCUCUGUUGCUGAUCCACUGUUAGCUAACCACCUCUGCUGCUAAUCCACUGUUAUUAACAACCUCUGUUGUUCAUCCACUGUUGAUGGAUCCACUGAUUCCUAACAACAUCUCCAUCCACUGCCAUCUAAACCACUGAUCAUUUACCCAUAUCACUCACCUUCCCGGAAUUCCCAAACCCGCUAACCGCAGCAUUCCACCAGGAACAAUUCGACUCGACAAACCUCCUUCCGAAACCCCUCUUCGCCCUCCGAAUCCCCACACAAAAAUCACCAUGUCUCUUCCUUUGUUGUGACUUGUGGCUUAACAAAUUCUUCAAUUAUCUGCUUCAGUUUUGUGUCACGAAUCAGCAUAUCUGCAUACCUCUUUCAUUUCCUCAAGACUAAUAGCGCCAUUUUUAUCGACGACAAUUGCAUAAUACUGAUCUUUGAGAUUCGAUAGUUCCUCUUCAUCGGGUGUGCUAGCCAAAGCCUGUGCGGUAAUAUGAGUCUUGGAUAAUAUUAUUUGUGAUUACUUUAAUAAUACGAGUGAAAUACUUAUCCGUAGAGCAAACAGUUACACAGCAACUGUCUUUAACAAAUUAAGAGGGGAGAUUGAAUGAUUCUGGAUUUGAGAAGAGGUUUUUUGUUCAAGGUGAUCGAACAAAUAUGACAUAUCCGAACUCUUGAUGUUGGAGAUUUGAGAGAGGAAAUCAAUUAAUCAACUCCUCCACUCCUUCCCCAUUUGUUCGUUUAGUUUUUUUUUUUUUUUUUUUUCUCAUAUAUAAACUAGAAACAAUAGCUAGCAUCUAGGA